rnacentral:tRNA from 1 species
GGUGGCUCAGCGCGGUAGAGCGCUUGCCUUGCAUGCAUGAGGCCCUGGGUUUGACUCCCCAGCACCA